rnacentral:lncRNA from 1 species
UAUGGUAAACAAAUAUGGACGACCCGGUCGGCUGCCAAGACAGACGAAGGCGUUUUACCAAAAAAAGUACGCCGAUUUAAGUCUCUUCGUCUUAUCGUGAUGCAGAAAUAAUGUGUGCAGUUUGGAUGCAACUGGUUGUCAAAUAUGUUGUACCGGCAUAGGAAGAUUAGUUGAUAGAAGGAAUGUAAACACAUCACGCACUUGUCCUUUUCAUCUGGCGAUCUGCUCUGGGAGACGAUUUGAAUGGAUCGUUCAUUUUUAUGUUUUAAAGUUCUGUAUUCAUAUGUUAAGUGUAUAUCUGGAUGGAAUUGAACCGACUUCCUUAUGGUUCCUAUUACAUGGAGAACCUAGUAAACCAAAGGCCAAGCUGAUGCCAAGCUUCAGUGUAAAACUUUGAGCAGGUGCCAGGUAAUUUGCAUUUACAAAUCCAAACAUUUUAAAACUUGAGUUGGACAACAUUGUCAUGUUAAUUAUGCCCCACUACACCAGCUUGUCUGGCAAAACAGCCGUUAGAUGUCAUAGUAAUCUAAACUAGAUACAUGUAUGAAAAAAAUGAUUAUUUAAAAAAUAAUCCAGGUCUGUCAGUUUAUAUGUUUGUAAUAAUUUAGGAACAAACACCCAAGUCAAGGCAAAAAACAAAUACAAACAUAUUGAUAACAAUUGCAAGAAAGCAUUAAACAAAAGUGCAGUAGAACUAAAUAGGAAAACAUGCAUGCUAUCAGACAAUUGAGGGAUUCAAGCCAAGGCUACUCUUCAACAUGUUCAAAAGUUGAAUUGCCAUGGUACACAUACAAUGUACAUGUAUGAUCAUCAUGUAGCAUGAACCAUCAAUGGCUGUUUAAACUUGUCACAUUGACACAGACACUGCCACAACACUAAUUAAUUGAUACAUGUAUAUACUAGCAUGACUAUAGUUAAUAUAUAUAUUGAUAAUAUAUCCAUCUAAAAAUCAUCUGAUAAUUUAAUCAGUAUUUGAUUAAAAGUCAAAUGCUCAUGUACAUGAUGUAGGAUACAAAGAAACAUAAAUAAAGCGAAGCAAAUAAAGAGCAAACAAACAAUUGACCGUUCAUACAUGUAUAUAUCUGGGAGUUUUUUCUGUUUAAUUUCUAUGAAUGUAAGAAGAAGUUGAUACUUACAUGUAACAUGUACAAAACAAUGUAUGUGUACUUCCCAUUUUAAUCUGAUAUCCAUACUAUAAUUAAUUUUUUUUAUACAAUAACUAGUCGAAAAAUUUAAAUACAGACAAAUAUUCAACGACUGAGCAAAUAAGACACAAGUUCACCAAGGUGCAUUGUCCCUGAGUAAAUUUUCAGCGUUGUAAGGUCACAAGUUGUAAAGCUUUUCAAUAUUUGAAUUCUUUGAUUAUUUAUUCUUUUUAUUACAUCAUGUACAUGUACAUUGGCAAAUAGCAUUUUUACAACAAAUAUUAUUCUAUUAUAAAAUGUAUGUGUUUUUUUAAUAUAUGUCCAGUUUUCACUUUAUUAUAUUUGGUAAGAAAAUUUGUAUUAAAACUAACAAACAUCAUUUGUACAUACAUACAUGUACAAAUGAUGUACAUGUACAUUGUACUGCUACAUAUAUACAUUCCUUAUCUAUGUGCUAUCAAAAUGAAGAACAUUUUUGUAACAGAAAUUUAUAUUUCAUUUUUUAGAGAAACCAUCCUUGUUAAAGAUGUGACAUUAAUCCCUCCAAACCUACAAAACACAAUUGAUAAGGUAAGUUGCAGAUUAUCUGAGAUAUUUUUAAUUAUCAUCCCAAGAAAUGUAGCAUACAUGUAUUACUCUUCUUUCAUUUAUAUGAUAAUGAAGAUACAUGUAUCUUGUAAUUUGUACAGUUGUAUAUGUAUUUCUGCCAUCUGUCACUGUUAAUUUAAAUGUACAUUAGGGGUCAGUAAAUAAUCAAAACAUGAUACAUGUAUAAAGACUAAUGGUGUGUAUUUUCAUUAAAUAAUACUCAGGUUUUUUUUGUGUUCAGAUUGAUAGCAAUUUUGUUGUCAAUUGUUGUAGUGUCAUUGAUAAAUGAAUGAAAUAAAUGGUUGUACCUAAAAUUAUUUGAAACAUGUCUGAACUUAACUUAUAUAUACAUUUAUACAUUGUAUUAUAACCAAUUUUUAUUUACAUUUGUAUAUCUAUACGUACAUGUACAUGAUCAAUGUAUCAAUAAUGACAAGGAACUUUUUAUUUAAAUUUCAGAGAUGCUAAUUAACCUUGUUAAUGACUGUGGGAGAACUUAUGCUACAUUUACCUAAUACACAGACAAACACAGAUGGGCAUAGGUAAUAAAUAGAGCAGUUUCAUGUUCAUAAGUUAUAUCAUGUAUGUACAUGUAUCCAUGUCUUUACAUGUAUUAGAGUUAUCUAACCUGUUUAAAAGCUGAUAACUACUUAGUUCUAUCAAAAUUGUAGUCUAUUUGUUUCUCUAUUUGUCCAUAAUUUAUCUUAUAAUGGAUAGAGUUUGAAAAUUAAAUCUAUAAAGUUGGAUAAAAUAUUCAUAAUGCUUGCAUUGGUACAAAGCCAUUUUGAAAAUAAGAAGAUGUGGUAUGAUUGCCAAUAUAUGAAAACUCUCCCCAAUACAUGUACUUCACAUGACAUAUAAAGGAACAACUUUAAGUCACCAUACAACCUUACACAAUAAGACAAACCCAUACUACAUAAUCAGCUGUAAAUUUAAACAAUUCAAAGGAGAAGACUAAAUAUAACUACUGAAUUAUUGGUUAUACAGCAUUAAAAUACAACUACUGAAUUACUGGUUCCUGACUUGGGACAGGCACAUACAGAAUAUGGCAGGGAUAAACUAGAUUGAACUUUAUUAAAAAAUUACCCAUUAUCAAACUAAAAAUGCCUAUUACUAAGUGAACUCAGAUUACUCUGCUGUUUACAUAUUUGUUAAACUAUAAUUUGCUUCUUGUAGAAAUUAGCCUGUGAGAUCAAGAUGCAGAUAUAUCCACCAGAUACCAAAUGCCACACCAAAGCAGACAUUUUCAAAUGUUGAGAGACCUAUGAAUACAUCU